rnacentral:rRNA from 1 species
GUGCCUUAUACAUGCAAGUCGAGCGAACGGAUAAGGAGCUUGCUCCUUUGAAGUUAGCGGCGGACGGGUGAGUAACACGUGGGUAACCUACCUAUAAGACUGGAAUAACUUCGGGAAACCGGAGCUAAUGCCGGAUAACAUAUAGAACCGCAUGGUUCUAUAGUGAAAGAUGGUUUUGCUAUCACUUAUAGAUGGACCCGCGCCGUAUUAGCUAGUUGGUAAGGUAAUGGCUUACCAAGGCGACGAUACGUAGCCGACCUGAGAGGGUGAUCGGCCACACUGGAACUGAGACACGGUCCAGACUCCUACGGGAGGCAGCAGUAGGGAAUCUUCCGCAAUGGGCGAAAGCCUGACGGAGCAACGCCGCGUGAGUGAUGAAGGUUUUCGGAUCGUAAAACUCUGUUAUUAGGGAAGAACAAAUGCGUAAGUAACUGUGCGCAUCUUGACGGUACCUAAUCAGAAAGCCACGGCUAACUACGUGCCAGCAGCCGCGGUAAUACGUAGGUGGCAAGCGUUAUCCGGAAUUAUUGGGCGUAAAGCGCGCGUAGGCGGUUUCUUAAGUCUGAUGUGAAAGCCCACGGCUCAACCGUGGAGGGUCAUUGGAAACUGGGAAACUUGAGUGCAGAAGAGGAAAGUGGAAUUCCAUGUGUAGCGGUGAAAUGCGCAGAGAUAUGGAGGAACACCAGUGGCGAAGGCGACUUUCUGGUCUGUAACUGACGCUGAUGUGCGAAAGCGUGGGGAUCAAACAGGAUUAGAUACCCUGGUAGUCCACGCCGUAAACGAUGAGUGCUAAGUGUUAG